rnacentral:rRNA from 1 species
UACGUAGGGUGCAAGCGUUAAUCGGAAUUACUGGGCGUAAAGCGUGCGCAGGCGGUUUUGUAAGUCUGACGUGAAAUCCCCGGGCUCAACCUGGGAAUUGCGAUGGAGACUGCAAGGCUAGAAUCUGGCAGAGGGGGGUAGAAUUCCACGUGUAGCAGUGAAAUGCGUAGAGAUGUGGAGGAACACCGAUGGCGAAGGCAGCCCCCUGGGUCAAGAUUGACGCUCAUGCACGAAAGCGU